GCGGCAUACAUUUUCAAUCGCAGACUGUGCAGGGAAAGGAGAUAUCGGGACCCACUCGACCCACUACAUGUCAGUGAUGAACACCUGUUGCAGGUGUAUAGAUUUCCCCGUCAGGAAAUCAUCAGGCUCUGUGAUGAGUUUCGCCCCCACCUGGAAAGGAGAACCAGGAGGGCACAUGCACUCCCAACACACACCCAGGAGACACUGCGUAUCCUCUGGAGCCAUUCCUGAUGACCCCAGUUGCACGGCCAACAACACCUGGGGAGGAGCGCUACAACAAGUCAUCACAGGACAAGAUGCGUUGUCGAACGGACCUUUGGGAUCCUCAAGUCAAGGUGCAGGUGCCUACAUAAGUCAGGAGGAAGUUUGCAGUAUGACCCCAAGAAGACUAUGAAGAUUGCGACUUCUUGUAUGCUCCUGCACAACUACUGAGUGGAUCGCUGCAGAAGAAGUACCAGUUCAGCCUGUGAGAAACAACAGACUGAUUCCUGGUCAAGUUGUCAGGCAGGAAAUUAUUAUAAACUUCUUUUCCUGAGUAUAAGUAGGCAUAUAUGUAGACCUUGCAGUUAGUAAUAGAUUACUUUCAAAUGUGAACGUGCAGAACUCACAGUCGGAGGCAUAAGAACAAAACAAGAAAUCAUAAUGGCCACAUGUUCGGCAUUCUUGAUCAUAAUUUAUAUGGCGAAUAUUAUUAAUAUGUAAUUAAUAUCAGCUUACACCUGCAGAUUGCAUAUGGUGCACCGGUGGCCGAGUGGUCAGCGUGUGUACGUGGUGAUCCAGAGGACUCGAUUCCCACCGCAAGACGCUGAGAGUUUUCAACCAUUGACAAGUGGCGGAGGGUUACCAACAUGCUGCCCAGCAGAUCUUCAGUCAACCCUAACUUCAGCGUCUUUGAUCAAGAGGGGCACCACCUCCACACCACUCAUUCUUAUCACCUAGUUUGAUACCCUACUUGUCCAUCUCACAUUCCCCAUGUAUCUCAGCAUUCUGCACUCUUGGCUCCAUGUCAUCCUCUCCAACUUGUUGGUUCGUAUAGCAUAACCGGCCUUACAUACAUAGAAGUGUUCAAUAUACCUAGGCUAUAAUAUUAUAUUUAAGGACUCUUAUACAAGGUAUCGCCCCAUACAGAGGUGUCGAAGUAAGUCUGUCUGAUGGUAGGCUGGCUGACUGCUGUCGGGACCCAAGCCAGCAUGCCCUGGGGGUUGUGUGCGGGAGGAGGAAAGAGGGAAAAGGACAAAUGGUGUGUGUGUCAUUAUCAGGGGUAACCACGGUGGAGUGCAAACACUCAGUAGUUGUAGUCAAGGCUUAAUUAAGUUGAUGAGUGGUGUUAGACUGAAUGAGCAGGUUUUUUACCACAUGUUAGUGGGAACACUUGAUAGGUUUUGUUUGUGUGUUGGUGCUACUUGUUUCUUGUGUUUACAUGUUAGUUUAUAAUUAGACUGAGUUCUAAGUGUUAUGAGCGACAAUUUAGUCUUGUGUGGCUGAAUCCUGUCCCUUGACCCUUAAUUCAUCAUCAGAAUCUUUAAACAAAUAUAUUUACCUUAAGUAAUAUUCUUAAAGUCACGCUGCCCAUAUUAUUUGGCAGAUGAUAACCCUGUGUGCGAUAACGGUGCCUUAUAAGACUUGGUAAAUAAACUACUAAUUUUA